CGCAUUGAUGCGGCGGUUCUUUCAUCUCCCUAAAGAGUAGAAACAUAACCUUCAAACCUCCAUAGUGACAGUGAGAAAGCGCGGGCGCGAUGUUGAUGAAGAACCAGAGGCCAAAUGGUUAGUCGAAGGCGUUUGUCGCGACAAGGAUCAAGUCUUCACAGAAGAUAUAGAUUGCCAUGAUCUAGGGCACAGAGCUAUUUGUUUAUUCCGAUUUCAGCAACAAGAAUUUCAACAGAUUCCUGGUUUGGGCGAUGAACUAAGGAGUCGAGAUCCUUGCAUUUCCGUUUGGAGAAGAAGCUAAAACCCUGGAUAUUCGAGUUUCCAUCGUUUCUGGAAUAGAUACAGACGGAACUAAACAAAAUGUCUGUGCAAGAAUAUCUGGACAAGUACUUGCUCUCCCGGAAAAUUGAGGAUGCUGUUAAUGCUAUGCCGUUUGGGCAAAGGCUCCAGAUCCCGUACUGCUCAUCUCAAAUCAUAUGAAAAGAAAGCCGUUCCUUCUGUAAUCACGAAGAUCAAAGCCAGGCAGAUCCUUGAUAGUAGUGGGAUUCCUACUGUUGAAGUCGACUUGUACACUAAUAAGGGGGUGUUUCGGGCUCCAGCUCCUAGCGGUGUUUCUACUGGAAUAUGAAUGAAGCUGUUUUGAAUUACGUGAUGCAGACAAGGGAAAAUAUCUUGGACAUGGUGUUUCUUGAGCUGUUUAGAUUCUCAAUGAGUAGAUAUCUGAAGCCUUGAUUGGUUUAGAUCCAAUACAUCAGUAUCAAAUUGAUCAGGCAUUGAUAGAUGUGGACAAAACUGAAAAUAAGUUAAAUGAAAGGAAGAAAUGGUAGUAAGAGAACCUUUCAAUGAAGAACUCUAGCAGAGUCAAGAAACUGGUUGCGAAAAUGAAACCAAAGGCUACCAAGAUUUGCAGAAUCAUCCCUUCCCGAGUUGCAAGCUUGUACAGUAUAUUGGCAUUGGCAGAGAUGAACUGUACCAGUAACAUCACAAUGGCUGGUUGAAUCCAUGAUCACGGGGAACCAUAUCUUUUAUGUUCGGGACAAAAUCAAGCAAAGAAAAACUCAGGUGUAACUUUUGGAAAAGUUACAUGAUCAUAGCAGCAAUCACUAUUAUAUAUAAUGAUAUUUUUUAACAUUCUUUGCCAUUUGAUUCAUUGUAUCAUUCAAGAAUUCAGGUGUAAAUUUUGGAAAAGGAAAAAGGCUGAAUUUUUCUAUCAUUUGUAUCAUUCAAGAAUUCAAGUGUUCCUAGUUUGAUCGUCUUCUGGUUUUGACUUCUUGAUAAUCAAAAUUGAUCCUUGCCUAUCUA